AGACUGCCGGUAAUAAACCGGAGGAAGGUGGGGAUGACGUCAAAUCAUCAUGCCCCUUAUGACCUGGGCUACACACGUGCUACAAUGGCUGGUACAACGAGUCGCAAGCCGGUGACGGCAAGCUAAUCUCUUAAAGCCAGUCUCAGUUCGGAUUGUAGGCUGCAACUCGCCUACAUGAAGUCGGAAUCGCUAGUAAUCGCGGAUCAGCACGCCGCGGUGAAUACGUUCCCGGGCCUUGUACACACCGCCCGUCACACCACGAGAGUUUGUAACACCCGAAGUCGGUGAGGUAACCGUAAGGAGCCAGCCGCCUAAGGUGGGAUAGAUGAUUGGGGUGAAGUCGUAACAAGGUAGCCGUAUCGGAAGGUGCG
rnacentral:rRNA from 1 species